GUCCAAGUGUGUACAUUUUAUCAGAAAUACAAGAGUCUCGUAUCAUAUACGCUCCGGCUUACGUUUUACAAGAUAAGCACACAAGAAUAUACAAAGUUGUUGAAACGUCGCGUAUUCCAUCGGAAUACUCACUCAUUCUUAUCCACAGUAGAAAAAAAAACGUGAUUGAGGAAACCGGAGAACGUUGCAACGAGAACUCGAGUUGGAGGGGCUGCACUCCACUGCAUACAUUCAAGGCACAGCUUCUUGCCUUGCAAGUAGGUAUGCAAACAAUAUAUCGAUACACCUGACCCGAGGCAUCGGUCCAAAUAGAUUUCAAAUAAAGUUUAUUCAACGUUUAUUGUAGUCACCGUCAAUUCGGUUUCGAUGCAUCGAUCGUAGUAUCGUAUCGAUAUUCCCAACCAUGGGUUUUUUACAUUCUUUCCCAAGGGAAACGUUACUGAAAACUUUUAGUAAUAUUGCAUUCACUCACUCAUAUUACUCGUCGCAACGCUGAAUAGACAAGCGAUCCAUUUGGGCGAACGUUAAUUACUUGUCGAUAACAUUUGCACAAUUUUUAUCCCAACGAAACCGCCAAUUUUUUUUUAACAAAAUACCGCCUUACACACCACUGUGCACACCGACAUGCAGCAACGUGCACUGUCGUACUGCGCAUGCGUGUUCGCGAUAAGUCUAAGGAGCUCGACUCAUGGCGGAUUCUUAGUAAGAUAUCUAUUCUUGUUAUUGGAAUAAAGUGAGAUGAACCGAUGCGUAAGAAACUAAGAUGGGAUAGAAUUAGGAGAGAUAUUCUCGUAUAUGCAAUAAGAAAGUCUAAAUAGACGCGAUAAAUUAUUAGGCAAACUACCAUGCGGCAUACGUGUCAUACUUGCGUAUAGGUAUUUUUAAUAUAUAUUUUAGAACGAUUGAACUAUCAUAGAUGACACGUUUAAACUAUCCGGAUGAAACAGGUUUUGUAUAAACAAAAUGUAGAAAAAAAGGUUUAAUGUAAAAUUUAUUAGUCACUAGACUAUAAUAGUUAACGAUAUGAAAUAAAAGUAAUAUUUUCAUGA